CACGUCCUGGCCAGUAUAAGGGUUAAUUGUCAUUGUAGUUUGGUCAGGACGUGGCAGAGGGUAUUUGGUUUAUGUGGUUCGGGGUGGUGUGUUUGUUGUAGGGGAUUUUAUUUAUGUAUUCCGGGGUUUUUGGGCACUGUUCCUUGUUUAUGUAUUUCUAUGUUGAUCUAGCUGGUUGUAUAGGGUAUUUGGUUUAUGUGGUUCGGGGUGGUGUGUUUGUUGUAGGGGAUUUUAUUUAUGUAUUCCGGGGUUUUUGGGCACUGUUCCUUGUUUAUGUAUUUCUAUGUUGAUCUAGCUGGUUGUAUGUCUAUGUUUGGUUAAUUGGGGUUGGGACUCUCAAUUGAAGGCAGGUGUUGUCUAUUUGCCUUUGAUUGAGAGUCCCAUAUAGUAGGGUGUGUUUGUGUUUGUCUUUUGUGGGAGAUUGUUUGUGAGCACUGCUUGUUGAGCCUGCCACACUGUUGUUAGUUGUGAGUAUCAUUUCUUGUUUUGUUUUUUCUGUGGAUGCCUUACUCUUUUUGUGAAUUAAAAGAAUGAGUAUCCAUAUACCCGCUGCAUUUUGGUCUGAUUCUACCACUGUGGUAGAAUCAAUGAUGCAGAUGACAGUCAUACAUUGACUUACAUAUUUACAGCUUUUGGAUUCAUUUUGUGAAUUUGAUUCAAACUUAGAUUACUGAAACAAGUUGCUCCACCAUUCUUUGGUCCAAUGACAUCAGUCUCUCCAUUAAUUUGGUGUUCUAUGGGGAAAAAUACCCCAAAUAAAAAGAACAUGUCGGUGUUUUGGUCAGUGUGUAUCAGAAUAGGAAACCCAUAUGAAAAUAAAAGUGAGUUGUGCUUCCUAAAUUAAUAAAUCAAUGAUUUUAACUAACCGCAAACCAGUGGCAGAAUGGAAUGGACACUCUUCCCUCUGGGUCCCUGUAUCCAUCUAACCCAUGGAAAUCCAUCUCCUCAACAGGCCUUAUAGAAACCAUUGUUGACUGUGUUGAACCAUGUAUGCGUGGUGAUGGCUGUUGAAACUGUCUGGUAGUGUCACGACACCUACGGAAGGUGGCGCCCCUCCUCGCCCGGGCGGCGGUCGGCGGUCGUCGUCGCCGGCCUACUAGCUGCCAUCGAUUUAUGUUUCACGUUCUGUUAGUUAGGCCUAGGUUAGUUGCGCACCUGUUUUGUGUUAGUUGUUAGUGGGGAGGGGUAUUUAGGCUAGUUAGUUAGGUUUGUUGUUUGUGCGUGAUUGUUCAUUUGUCAGGGUGUGUUUCAUGUGGUUCUGUAUAUUGUGGAGUUACGCUAUUCCUUUUGGGCUGCGUCCCUGGUUACGUUCUUUUAAGGGUGGUGCGUUACUUUUGCACACCUUGCACUCCAUACCUUGCAUAUUUUUCCGUGUGGAUAUUUUUAUUAAAUUCAUUAACGGAAUCUUUCUGUCUCCUGCGCCUGACUCUUCGGAAUCCACAAGCCACCCAUUGUGACAGGUAGCAGUACUUUACCACACCAGCACCAAGGAAU
rnacentral:lncRNA from 1 species